rnacentral:rRNA from 1 species
AAAAAAGUAGAAAAAUUAGGUAGUAAGGGAUGACCUAAAACUUAAAGAAUUUGGCGGUGUUUUAAGCUUAUCAGAGGAACCUGUUUUAUAAUCGACAAUACCCGACAAAUCUUACUUAAAUUAAUAGCUUGUAUAUCGUUGUGUUAAUAAUAUUUUAUAACUAUUAUUAGGGGUGAUUUUAUCUUUUAUAUCAGAUCAAGGUUCAGUUGAUGUUUAAGUAAAAAAUGGGUUACAAUAUAAUUAUAUAUCUACGGAAUUUAGUUAUCAAAGCUAAGUGAAGGAGGAUUUGAAAGUAUUUUUAUGAUAAUGAACUGAAUUGAAUUAGCUCUAAAACAUGU